AGUCAUAUGCUUGUCUCAAAGAUUAAGCCAUGCAUGUCUCAGUACGAGCCGCUUUAAGGUGAAACCGCGAAAGGCUCAUUAAAUCAGUUAUGGUUCCUUAGAUCGUACCCACACUUACUUGGAUAACUGUGGUAAUUCUAGAGCUAAUACAUGCAAACAGAGCUCCGACCGGAGACGGGAGGAGUGCUUUUAUUAGAUCAAAACCAAUCGGCGGCGGGCGCGUUCGCGCGCGUCCGCUCGCCGCUCGACCUGGUGACUCUGAAUAACUUUUCGCUGAUCGCACGGUCUCGCACCGGCGACGCGUCUUUCAAAUGUCUGCCUUAUCAACUGUCGAUGGUAGGUUCUGCGCCUACCAUGGUCGUAACGGGUAACGGGGAAUCAGGGUUCGAUUCCGGAGAGGGAGCCUGAGAAACGGCUACCACAUCCAAGGAAGGCAGCAGGCGCGCAAAUUACCCACUCCCGGCACGGGGAGGUAGUGACGAAAAAUAACGAUACGGGACUCAUCCGAGGCCCCGUAAUCGGAAUGAGUACACUUUAAAUCCUUUAACGAGGACCCAUUGGAGGGAAAGUCUGGUGCCAGCAGCCGCGGUAAUUCCAGCUCCAAUAGCGUAU
rnacentral:rRNA from 2 species